rnacentral:lncRNA from 1 species
GCACAUGGCAUGUGGCUAAUGCGUUUGCAUCCUCCAAACAAACACAAUUGAGCACAGAAAUAGCACACAGAGAGGAAACUGUAAAACUAUUGAAUUUUAUAAUAUUUAAACCUCUCAGAGAUCCGUAUUCCCUGGCUCUGUUGCUCCUCCUCACAUGGCUGGCAGAGUCUGAGACGUUAGCCUCCAUGUUGAAAUUCAAGAGACAUACCAUGUCAUGGAAGCUGAAUCCAAAAGAAACCUCCCCAAGUCUACAGCUCUUCAACAUGGAUGAAAAUGCCGGAGAAUAGUUCAAAUCCUUAAAAGCAGGACCUCCAUAUCAGACAUGUCUGGGAAAGCAAUGUCAUGCCUGGAGCACACUUUUUCAG